GAGGGAAAGCACCUCCCCAAAAGUCACACAGCACGCUCCAUCAUCAAGCUCCCAAUUCCUUGAAAGCACCUAUGCCUCAUUGAUGAGUCUCUCUCCCGCUGGGUCUGUAGCAUCUCCAUUACCAGAUUUGGCCCAAUCUUGCAAGUUUACAGGAAGAGAAACUUGGCUGCGGAGAGGAAAAUGACUUGCUCAAAGUCAAACAGAGAUUCAGGACAGAGUUGAAGGAGACUCACUCU
rnacentral:lncRNA from 13 species